AUGGAGACUCAUCUAAAGAGAAAUGGAGAUUUUAUUGACGAGCGCACAAGAAUCACUCAAGACGAGUUUAAUAGAGAACUUGUUCUAAAGUUGUCAGAGCAUCCUGAAUUACCUGAACCACCACCAGGAUAUCCUGUUGACCAUGGUGUGGAUUUUCGGACAUGUUAUGAUGUUUCAGGUGGAAAGAAGAAAAAUAGAAGAGCGUAUGGUCCUGGAGGGUACGCCAAAACUAUCAAGCGGCGUGAUAGGAGUUUCAGAAUGAGACUUGCUGAUGGAGAAGGAACAUCAACUCCACCAUAUUAA